UACGGAGGGGGCGAGCGUUGUUCGGAAUCAUUGGGCGUAAAGGGCGCGUAGGCGGCCGACCAAGUCGGAUGUGAAAUCCCUCGGCUCAACCGAGGAACUGCACUCGAUACUGGUUGGCUAGAGUCCGGGAGGGGAUGGUGGAAUUCCCAGUGUAGCGGUGAAAUGCGUAGAUAUUGGGAAGAACACCGGUGGCGAAGGCGGCCAUCUGGACCGGCACUGACGCUGAGGCGCGAAAGCCAGGGGAGCGAAUGGG
rnacentral:rRNA from 1 species